rnacentral:tRNA from 1 species
CUGCCUGUAGCUCAGCAGGAUAGAGCAUACGCCUUCUAAGCGUACGGUCGGAGGUUCGAAUCCUCUCGGGCAGGCCA